CCGCAAGUAGACGGAUCUGAUUGUCUUGGCUUGAUGAGCGUACAUCGAAUACUUGGAUGAAUGAUAUGUGAAGAGAGUUCUUUGUCGUCCCCACAGACGGCGCCAAUUGUUGAACCAAGGAUUCACACAAUAGAUUUGUUUAGAGAGGGAAAACAAAUCUAGUAAUUUCUCUUCAUUAGGUAUUCUAUCCAAGACUCGAUUACAAAAGAUGUUCUAAUCUCUUCUGAAAUACAUUAGGGUUGGGUUUUAAAAAGGUAUAGCUGCAUCCAUAAUGGAUUGCCUACGUACCCUGUGAAGGGAUCAAGCCAUUCGUAGUUCUCAAUAUGUAUAAAGUUAUGUGUUUCUUGUGAGUAUCCAAAGAUAUCUCUUUUGUGAAGUCCCUAAGGCACUUUAUAUAGGAUCCUUAAACCGCCUCUCUCGCGAUAUUCUUCGGAAGAUUCUUAUUUAUCCUUAGGUCGGUUCUAGAGGAUAAUCGUCCUAAGGAUAUUCUCCUUAUUCUUCGGAGGUUUUGGGGAGAUUUCCUGAUUUCGACAUUAUCUUCAAAGAUUCUCCUUUAUCAUUUCCGAAAGUCCCAUAAAAGAUCCUAUUUUACCGGAAAUGAUCCUUGGAGAAUGAAUGGUUUUUACAAGUCUUUGCCUCGCGUGUUUUUCACGGCUCGGUGGUCGUUUGAGAGGUGGCUUCGGGGCAAACGGUAUGUACCGGCUCGGGGCGCGCUUGAUGACUCCAUUAAGCUCAGUUGGCUGUCUCCCGAGCCGAUAUAGAUGUUUCCCGCAGCGUUCUCACGAUUGGCUCGGGCUGUGCUCAUA
rnacentral:sRNA from 1 species